UGCAGUCGACGGCAGCACGGGUGCUUGCACCUGGUGGCGAGUGGCGAACGGGUGAGUAAUGCAUCGGAACGUACCGUGUAAUGGGGGAUAACGUGGCGAAAGUCACGCUAAUACCGCAUACGCCCUGAGGGGGAAAGCGGGGGCUCGCAAGACCUCGCGUUAUACGAUCGGCCGAUGUCUGAUUAGCUUGUUGGUGGGGUAAAGGCCCACCAAGGCGACGAUCAGUAGCGGGUCUGAGAGGAUGAUCCGCCACACUGGGACUGAGACACGGCCCAGACUCAUACGGGAGGCAGCAGUGGGGAAUUUUGGACAAUGGGGGCAACCCUGAUCCAGCCAUGCCGCGUGAGUGAAGAAGGCCUUCGGGUUGUAAAGCUCUUUCAGUCGGAACGAAACGGUUCGCUCUAACAUAGCGUGCUAAAGACGGUACUGACAGAAGAAGCACCGGCUAACUACGUGCCA
rnacentral:rRNA from 1 species